UACAGAGGUCCCAAGCGUUGUUCGGAUUCACUGGGCGUAAAGGGUGCGUAGGUGGUAGGGUAAGUCUGAUGUGAAAUCUCCGAGCCUAACUCGGAAACUGCAUCGGAUACUAUCCUGCUCGAGGAAUGGAGGGGAGACUGGAAUACUUGGUGUAGCAGUGAAAUGCGUAGAUAUCAAGUGGAACACCAGUGGCGAAGGCGAGUCUCUAGACAUUUCCUGACACUGAGGCACGAAAGCCAGGGGAGCAAACGGG
rnacentral:rRNA from 1 species